CUCUGGAUAGGUAAGGGGUCCUGGACUCUUCACUAAGGGGCAAGGGACUUCUGAAUAGCUGGAAAAAUGUAUUCACUGGAAUGUUUAACAGAAAUGCCAACCUACUGAAUACAGAUAUAUCACACAUCAUUAGGACAUAAAUAUUGGCUACCAGAUGUAUACAUGAAAGUUGGACUAGCUUUUAAAGUGAUGCAAACAGAAACUGCAGAAGCAAAUUUACAGUCAGCUCAACACUUACAUGUAUGGUUAUUGGAUAGAAAAUCAGCAAGUCUGGAGAGAAGAAAAUAUUACAAACACAUCAAAGGCAAAGUCAGAACCAAACAAAUACUUGAGCAUCAUAAUGGAUGCUAUGGACCAGGAUAAGACAUCCUUACCAAGAUUAUCAACCACUCCUAAAACACUGUCAAAUAUAUGGAAGAUAAAAGUUGGUCUCAUGGCAGCACUUGUACAUGGCAUAGGCGCAUACGGAUUUUUUGAUAUAUACCAAUGGGGUCAUGGCUCCUCGUAUACCAUUUCUGUCCUUGUACAAGUGCUGCUCAUGUUAGACCAACUACCAGAAGUCUAUAUAUUCAACUGGACAACUGUCCAGGUCAAAAUAA
rnacentral:lncRNA from 1 species